GGCGGGAGUGGACGUGAGGACGUCAAGUCCAUUACGAGCACGCUGUGACACCGACAGCGCGGGUUCGAUUCCCGUCACCCGCUUC
rnacentral:tRNA from 1 species